rnacentral:rRNA from 1 species
UAGGGAAUCUUCCGCAAUGGACGCAAGUCUGACGGAGCAACGCCGCGUGAGUGAAGAAGGAUUUCGGUUCGUAAAACUCUGUUGUUAGAGAAGAACAGCGCAUAGAGUAACUGUUAUGCGUGUGACGGUAUCUAACCAGAAAGCCACGGCUAACUACGUGCCAGCAGCCGCGGUAAUACGUAGGUGGCAAGCGUUGUCCGGAUUUAUUGGGCGUAAAGCGAGCGCAGGCGGUCAAUUAAGUCUGAUGUGAAAGCCCCCGGCGCAACCGGGGAGGGUCAGUGGAAACUGGUUGACUUGAGUGCAGAAGAGGAGAGUGGAAUUCCAUGUGUAGCGGUGAAAUGCGUAGAUAUAUGGAGGAACACCAGUGGCGAAGGCGACGCUCGGGACUGUAACUGACGCUGAGGCUCGAAAGCGUGGGUAGCAAACAGG